rnacentral:rRNA from 1 species
AAUGAACGUUGGCGGCAUGUAUUAGGCAUGCAAGUCGAGCGAGAAGGGUCCGAGUGCUUGCACAAAGACCCGGAAAGCGGCGAAAGGGUGAGUAACGCGUAGUUACCUGCCUCAGGGUCCGGGAUAGCCACGGGAAACUGUGGGUAAUACCGGAUGACAUCUCCGGAUCAAAGGUGUGAUUCCGCCCUGAGAGGGGACUGCGUCCUACUAGCUUGUUGGUGGGUUAAUGGCCUACCAAGGCUUCGAUGGGUAGCGGGCGUGAGAGCGUGACCCGCCACACUGGGACUGAGACACUGCCCAGACACCUACGGGUGGUUGCAGUCGAGAAUCUUCGGCAAUGGACGCAAGUCUGACCGAGCGAUGCCGCGUGCGGGAUGAAGGCCCUCGGGUUGUAAACCGCUGUCAGUUGGGAGGAAGGUCCGCCGAAGAGGCGGAUUUGACCUAUCUUCAGAGGAAGUACGGGCUAAGUUCGUGCCAGCAGCCGCCGUAA